GUGAGCCAAGUGAUAGGAGACUAUCUAGCUUGGUUCGGAGAGCACGGUUAAAGAUUGAUUUUUGUUGCUAAAUGUUACGGCCUAAAUGCUGAACUAUUGACCCUAC
rfam:Genlisea aurea contig_2, whole genome shotgun sequence.